GUGGGGAAUCUUCCACAAUGGACGAAAGUCUGAUGGAGCAACACCGCGUGAGUGAAGAAGGUUUUCGAAUCGUAAAGCUCUGUUGUCGGGGACGAAUGUUGAGACCGAGAAUAUUGGUUUCAAAUGACGGUACCUGACGAGGAAGCCACGGCUAACUACGUGCCAGCAGCCGCGGUAAUACGUAGGUGGCGAGCGUUGUCCGGAAUUAUUGGGCGUAAAGAGAGCGCAGGUGGGAAAGUAAGUCUGUCUUAAAAGUGCGGGGCUCAACCCCGUGAUGGGAUAGAAACUAUUUUUCUUGAGUGCAGGAGAGGAAAGCGGAAUUCCUAGUGUAGCGGUGAAAUGCGUAGAUAUUAGGAGGAACACCAGUGGCGAAGGCGGCUUUCUGGAAUGUAACUGACACUGAGGCUCGAAAGCCAGGGGAGCGAACGGGAUUAGAUACCCGAGUAGUCC
rnacentral:rRNA from 1 species